GCUAACUUCGCUUCGUGGUUGUUUACAAUGUAACGACCUGCGCACCAAUCGAACGAAUUUCAGCUACCUCACGUGUCUGUUCCGAUUGGAGAACGUUCGUAAUGUGAUUACGCAACGGACACGGGAAAAAAUUUAAUAGGUAAUUCGACGAGAGGUUUUUUAGGCCAUCAUGAACUUAUACGGAUUUGUAAUUGAAAUCGGCACUGUCCGCUCACGGAGGUAGUUUGUAACUGAGUUAUCAGUUACAUUGUGGUAUGUACACGCGUUCGCGGUACAUAAUCGAUAAAUCCUGAAAUUACUCUGUAAGAUUACAACUUUCAACGAUGUAAACUGUACUUAAGUUGUUGUAACAAGACGUUGAGCGUAUUUGUUUGAAUGUUGCGCGAUUUUGCUCGCUCUAUGGGCCCGAAUAGAGGAAUUUCUGCAACGUUUUUGGAAUCUACAGAAUUGCUUCGGAAACUACAGUAUCGCCAUGGAAACUGCAAUAUUGUUCUGGAAGCUAUCAUAUCUCUUUGGAAGCUACAGUAUCGCUUUACAAAUUAUAGUGAAGAGAACUAUAGUAAGAGACUGUGACUCGAUGACAUUGGGAACUAGUUUUCAUCAGUUCCAAGUGCGUCAAAGGCCCACUAGCGAGCUACGCCGCGCGAACACCUAAGAGAAGGCAUGCGAAAAUUCCCUGGCGAGCCGACGCGCCGCGCCACGGUCGUUUUUGCUUCGGCAAUUUUUGACUUAUCGUUUCGCGGAAACCGUGAAAGCGAGCGAUGUGUAUGCAACGUGUCCACGUUUUUUUUUUCCUUUUCUUCUCUUCAUUGACGAAAUUAUGUAGUCACUGGUUGCUAAACUUAUUCGACGCUUUGAUACCGAAAGAAGAAAAGGAACGAAAAGAGACAGAGAACGAGGAGGUUUGGAGAACGAGUUGAAGUUUGAAGGUUGCUCGAAGGUUGCUUUAAGGUUCCAGCGCGUUGUGAGGUUUGCCGAGAACUUCUGAUACGAAACGGAUAAGUUAAUCCGUUCACUGGAGAUAUUUUACAAAUAAAACACAACUGAGAAUUG